GACAUUCCAGAACUUGAAUAUUAGAUUUUUUUUUUUUCAAUUUCUUUUACUGUAUAUUUUUGACUUUACACAUUAUUAUAAGAGAAAUACACCUGAUUUUACUCGCAAACAUAAUAUUUUUUUUCCAGAUAAAUUGAUUAUUAAAUACAUAUAAUGAAGCAAGUAUAAUUUCGUUAAAAACUUAAUUUAAAUGUAUUAAUUUUUUUUUAUGGAAUAGAAGACUUGAUUAAGAACGAAAACCAGCAUCAAACAGAACAAGUUCGGUGGACUCAUUUGGGUCCUCCUCCAACCUUAUUUGCAGCGACCAGAACAAGACGGUUUGCAUCGCGAAUCACCAUCCCCAUACUCCAUUUACCAUCCUUAUUUUUGCCCGCAUCCAUAUUCAUUUUUAUUCUUCCCUCCACAGGCGCUUCCAACGAGGCUUGAUAUUGCCAGAUUCCCUAUCCUGAACAUCCUGAGAACUAUUAGCACCUCCAAACUCUGCACAAGCUCCAUAAGCAAGAGCAAGAACAUUACCACAGCUUACCACUCUCUGUUCAUAGAUGUACAUAUUACGAGCAUACCACAGCGCCCAUAACACCAUACAAAAGAGACCCAACGACUCAUCAUCUAAUUUCUUCGCUACUAUAUCAAACCAUCAAUUAAAGGCCAAACCUGUAGAAGGACGCACAUCUAAGCCCAAGCUGGAUGCAAACCACACUUCCUUUGUUAGCUCAUAGAUGUACAUAUUACGAGCAUACCACAGCGCCCAUAACACAAUACAAAAGAGACCCAACGACUCAUCAUCUAAUUUCUUCGCUACUAUAUCAAAACCAUCAAUUAAAGGCCAAACCAGUAGAAGGACGCACAUCUAAGCCCAAGCUGGAUGCAAACCACACUUCCUUUGUUAGCUGGCAAUCUCUAAGCACAUGACAAAUGGUUUCCG
rnacentral:lncRNA from 1 species